UUCCUUCUCUGCUGGCGGCGCCUCACUAAGAAACGACGGCUGCGUCCAUGCGGGUUAGGCCCGCGCUCGCCGGGGUGCAUGCGGGUCCGGGUCCGCUGGGGGGUAAAGGGUGCCUGCUGCGCCCUGUAGGUCAGUGGUGAAAUCCCCGAGCUUAACUUGGGAACUGCCAUUGAUACUGCAAGUCUUGAAUUUUCUGGAGGUAAGCGGAAUAUGUCAUGUAGCGGUGAAAUGCUUAGAUAUGACAUAGAACACCCAUUGCGAAGGCAGCUUACUACGGGAAUAUUGACGCUGAGGCACGAAAGCGUGGGGAUCAAACAGGAUUAGAUACCCUGGUAGUCCACGCCCUAAACGAUGAUUACUCGACAUUAGCGAUAUUACAGUUAGUGUCUAAGCGAAAGCAUUAAAUUAUCCACCUGGGAAGUACGACCGCAAGGUUGAAACUCAAAUGA
rnacentral:rRNA from 1 species